AGUGAACGCUGGCGGUAGGCCUAACACAUGCAAGUCGAACGGCAGCACAGUAAGAGCUUGCUCUUACGGGUGGCGAGUGGCGGACGGGUGAGGAAUACAUCGGAAUCUACUUUUUCGUGGGGGAUAACGUAGGGAAACUUACGCUAAUACCGCAUACGACCUACGGGUGAAAGCAGGGGAUCUUCGGACCUUGCGCGAUUGAAUGAGCCGAUGUCGGAUUAGCUAGUUGGCGGGGUAAAGGCCCACCAAGGCGACGAUCCGUAGCUGGUCUGAGAGGAUGAUCAGCCACACUGGAACUGAGACACGGUCCAGACUCCUACGGGAGGCAGCAGUGGGGAAUAUUGGACGAUGGGCGCAAGCCUGAUCCAGCCAUACCGCGUGGGUGAAGAAGGCCUUCGGGUUGUAAAGCCCUUUUGUUGGGAAAGAAAAGCAGCAGGUUAAUACCCCGCUGUCCUGACGGUACCCAAAGAAUAAGCACCGGCUAACUUCGUG
rnacentral:rRNA from 1 species